AACUUGGAAGAUAUCUCUAACUCAAGUCUUUGAUUGUCAUGUGUUAAAGAGUGCAACUUUUGAAAAGGUUUGAUGGCAAUUCCUUGGAAAGAAAAGAUAGAAUUAGAACAUUCAAUAACAAAUGGUAAGUGAAAAGAUAGAAAACCUCCCCUUAAAAAUUUGUUUUCUAUUGUGAGAAUAGGGGAUGUUGCUCUCCAUUGUUCUUUCUUCUUUUCUUCCAUGUCUUUCUUUUCAAGUUCUUCCUUCUCUUCCUCUUCCUUUCUUUCUUUCUCUCUUAUUUUCUCUUCUUCUCUUCUCUCUUGUAUUAUUCUCUCUCUUUCUUCCUCUUCUUUUUUCUCUCUUUCUUCUUCUUCUCUUCUCACUAGUU
rnacentral:lncRNA from 1 species